rnacentral:rRNA from 1 species
UCGGGAAUUUUGGGCAAUGGCGAAAGCCUGACCCAGCAACGCCGCGUGAGGGAUGAAGUAUUUCGGUAUGUAAACCUCGAAAGAAUGGGAAGAAUAAAUGACGGUACCAUUUAUAAGCUCCGGCUAACUACGUGCCAGCAGCCGCGGUAAUACGUAGGGAGCAAGCGUUGUUCGGAUUUACCGGGCGUAAAGGGCGCGUAGGCGGCGCGGUAAGUCACUUGUGAAAUCUCUGAGCUUAACUCAGAACGGCCAAGUGAUACUGCUGUGCUCGAGUGCGGAAGAGNCAACCGGAAUUCUUGGUGUAGCGGUGAAAUGCGUAGAUAUCAAGAGGAACACCUGAGGCGAAGGCGGGUCGCUGGGCCGACACUGACGCUGAUGCGCGAAAGCCAGGGGAGCAAACG